UCUCCUUCUGCUGCUGCUGCUUCUUCUUCUUCUUCUUCCCAAAGACCAUCUGUCUGUCUGUCUCUCUCUCUCUCUCGUACACACACGCAGCGUGAUCAUGGCGAAGGAUCACGAGAUGAUGCCAGUGACCGAUCCUUCCUCGAAGACCUCCUCCCCGUCGGCCAUGAGCAGGAAGGGAGCUUACGCCGCCGGGUCCUACAUGGCCUGCGCAGUUCUCUUGGUAAUGUUCAAUAAAGCGGCCCUUUCUUCGUAUCAUUUCCCUUGUGCAAAUGUGAUCACGCUUUUUCAGUUGGUAUGUUCUUGUUUGUUACUGUAUGCAUUGAGAUGCUGGGACAUCAUUUCUUUCUCUGCUGGAGAAACCCAAAGCAUCCGUUACAACCCUGCAACACUGGUUCCCCAUAAGACAUUGCUUCACACUAUUCCUCUUGCAGUGUCCUAUUUACUGUAUAUGCUGGUCUCCAUGGAGUCCAUACGCGGUGUAAAUGUGCCCAUGUACACUACACUCAGACGGACUACAGUGGCCUUCACAAUGGUUGUGGAGUACUUUCUAACAGGACAGAGAUAUUCACUCCCUGUUGUAGGCAGUGUGGGGAUCAUUAUACUCGGCGCUUUUAUUGCUGGAGCACGAGAUUUGUCAUUUGACUCAUAUGGAUACAUGGUAGUGUUUAUGUCAAACAUCUGUACCGCAGUAUAUCUGGCUUCUAUAGCACGAAUUGGAAAAUCUAGUGGACUUAACAGCUUUGGCCUUAUGUGGUGUAAUGGCAUAAUAUGUGGACCAAUUUUGCUGAUCUGGACUUCAAUCAGUGGUGACCUAGAAACGACAGUGAAGUUCCCAAAUUUGUUUGCUCCUGGCUUUCAGGCUGUCAUGGCACUUUCCUGCACCAUGGCUUUCCUGAUUAAUUACUGUGUAUUUUGGAAUACGAUGCUAAAUUCAGCUCUCACGCAGACAAUUUGUGGUAAUCUAAAGGUUUGAUAUGCACACCAAACCCCUGUAAUACCUCCCCUCUUAUGCUCAGUUGUAGCUAUUCUGAUGUUAAAGAAGUUAUCUAGUAUCUCUUCUUCUGCAUGGGCUUAUGGUUUUUGAGCCAUAUUCUUGGCUGCCAUUAUCUCAAUUUUCUUGUUGAUGCUAUCUGGAAGGUACUUUCUAAUAGUCGGGUCCACAACCAUUCAAAAAAUGUCUUGCCAUGACAUUUUAUCCCUGUUGAUAGUUACUUCACCAGAAUAAUUGUUAUUUGGGUAGCCCUGUUCAUUCUGGAGUUUGAUGUCAUAGACACUUGUUCACCCUUCACUUUCUUCAUCCUUGGAGUGCUUUAGUUUGCUGGAUCUUUUCACAAUUGGACUUGGCUGGCUAAUGUUUGGCGGGCUUCCAUUUGACUUGUUGAAUGUCGUCGGCCAAUCGCUUGGUUUUCUAGGGUCCUGUUUGUAUGCCUAUUGUAAACUUCAAGGGAGAUAAGCUGAUAAGCAGCUUGUGAGAUUUUUGUUUUCUCUGAUGUAACUCUAUCAAAUAAUCAACAACCAAAUUU